AUGACCUCGUUUGCCUCUGUUUUCAAUUUAGGAAGAAAUGUUGAAUGGAAUUUUUUUCUAUUUCAAAGAAAGAUGCACAGCACGGAUGUGCCUACGAAAGAGAAGGCAAAGCAGACACAGGGUCUGAACAAGGGACACACAGAGCAGCCAAAGACAUCAGCAACAUCUGCCAGCCACCUCUGGAAGACAGGAGCAUCGCUGAGGGCUGGACGGAGGCUCCUCCAUCAGCGGAGCCCUCAGCCGCAGACAAGGGCAGGAAAUCCAGAAGAGGUGUUUGCCCAAAGAGCAUCUUGGUUAUGGCCAGCUUUCCAGCCCCAGGAAAGGGAUGGCUCCACUUUUCCAUAUCAGACUGUUGGAUGUGAUGAUCCUGAAGCUUUUUCCAAACUGCACAAUUCUAUGAUCUAUGUCAGUCCUACAUCUUAGCCCCUUAUCUUAGGCAAAGCUGGACUAUAGCUAGUUCUAAUAUCUCUACCUCUCCAGCAGCUAAAAAAAAUGUUUAAACAAACAAACAAACAAAAAAAAAAAACACAGAUUUUUGAAACAUUAUUUGUAUUUUCAUUUUGUAAGGUACAUGUUUUUCACUGUAUAUAGUGUUUUACACUCCCAGCUAUUGUCCAAGUUUGCCACCAGCGUAAGUCUGUAAUGGUCUGAACUUGUUAGGGAAUAAGGAGGUCUGGGGAUUGAGGAAGAAAAUUUACCCUAAAUGUUCAUUGCAUUACAGCUGAGGUCCAAAAAAAAAGUUAAUUACUAUAACAAAACAAUAAAAAUUCAGAAUGUCCUAGGAAUCACAUUCAACAUCAGAGAUUGUGCAUACAAACUGGGUGGUACUAUACUGAAAUCUCAGUAAUGGCGCAUGCUGGGGACCCUGAAAGACUUGCACUCAGCUUUUGGUUAAAACUGAAGAAUGAAGAGGGGGAAAAGGAGCCAAGUCAGCAGUUUUGCAUUAGGCAAGAGGGGAGAAGUUUGUCAUGCAAGGCAAUCAGCAGUUAGCUCAACAUCAGACAGCAGGGAGGGCUCGGGUUUGGGUUCUGCAAGUGUUUCUAAUGAAUGAAGCAAGAUGAAGCGAUGUGUUUCGAUGCCUAGCUAAUCAUUUCACAGCAGACAAUUUCACCAAUUAUUCAAAUAUGUCAGAGCAUCUACUGCCAAGACUGCCACUGAACUUGAUCUAAAUGAAUCCCCAGAAAUCUGUUGGGAAACUCCUAUUGCUACAGAUCAGUGCAUUAUUAAUUGGAGCUAGGGCAGACAAGAGCGCAGUUUUAAAGUUGCAUUUUUGCUGUUAUAGAAUGCAGAUGUCCAACAUUUCAGAGCAGUUUUUCUGUUGUUUCUUUUUUUUUU
rnacentral:lncRNA from 1 species